ACAUUGGUGGUUCAGUCGUAGAAUUCUUUCCUUCUAAUAUAUGCUGGAGACCUGGGUUCGAUUCCUAGCUAAUGCA
rnacentral:tRNA from 1 species